AGAGUUUGAUCAUGGCUCAGAUUGAACGCUGGCGGAAUGCUUUACACAUGCAAGUCGAGCGGCAGCGCGGGGGCAACCCUGGCGGCGAGCGGCGAACGGGUGAGUAACACAUCGGAACGUACCCUAUCGUGGGGGAUAACGAAUCGAAAGAUUCGCUAAUACCGCAUACGACCUGAGGGUGAAAGCRGGGGAUCGCAAGACCUYGCGCGAUUGGAGCGGCCGAUGUCGGAUUAGCUAGUUGGUGAGGUAAAGGCUCACCAAGGCGACGAUCCGUAGCUGGUCUGAGAGGACGACCAGCCACACUGGGACUGAGACACGGCCCAGACUCCUACGGGAGGCAGCAGUGGGGAAUUUUGGACAAUGGGGGCAACCCUGAUCCAGCCAUUCCGCGUGAGUGAAGAAGGCCUUCGGGUUGUAAAGCUCUUUCGGCAGGAACGAAACGGCGGGCUCUAACAUAGCCCGUCAAUGACGGUACCUGAAGAAGAAGCACCGGCUAACUACGUGCCAGCAGCCGCGGUAAUACGUAGGGUGCGAGCGUUAAUCGGAAUUACUGGGCGUAAAGCGUGCGCAGGCGGCUUUGUAAGACAGGUGUGAAAUCCCCGGGCUUAACCUGGGAACUGCGCUUGUGACUGCAAGGCUCGAGUGUGGCAGAGGGGGGUGGAAUUCCACGUGUAGCAGUGAAAUGCGUAGAGAUGUGGAGGAACACCGAUGGCGAAGGCAGCCCCCUGGGUCAACACUGACGCUCAUGCACGAAAGCGUGGGUAGCAAACAGGAUUAGAUACCCUGGUAGUCC
rnacentral:rRNA from 1 species